rnacentral:lncRNA from 1 species
CCAGACAAUGCUGAUAAGUACGUCCACGCCAGCGAUAGCCUUCAACUUGAGAAAAGCAUUCCCGUUCCCAGGUUUCGAAAUCUCCUUUUUGUGUUUCACGGAACCACUCAUAGUGACGAAGAAGAAGAGGAAAAAGAUCACGAAGAAACUGUACAGACUUUUCAGGGUUAGAAAUGGAGACAGAACGAAGGUAUUCAAGAUCAUCCAAGGAAUAGUCUUCACCUUCACCACUAAAACGAUUAUUAAGUUUUCCUUGUUGUUCCUGAAGUCUUUCAAUAUAUCCUUUUAAGGCCAAGAUCAGAGUGGGUGGAUUAGCAAUAUCGGGAUACUGAGUUUGAAACUCAUCGGGAACCUUGCUUCGAGCUUCUUCACCAAGGAUUUGUUCACGGCCUACCCACCCAUCUUCGUUCACCAAUGAAAACCAGCUUUUGAGGAUCUCAAGACUAAAAUCGUUAUCCCAAAGUCCUACGGGUAAAAGAUGAAAUCCUUCAUCCCAAUAGAAACCACGUGGGAAAUGAGGUCGACUAGGAACAAUGGUAAAUAAACUUCUUUCAAUGUCAUGAAACGCAGUACCUUCGGCAAGUUUGCCAGCAGCACUUUCAAAUCCUUGCAUGAACUCGUAGUCUUCAUCGUCUAGUUCAAUGGGGUUUUUACUAACGAUUGAAUCACCAGUAAAGAAUCCAACGUUACCAAAAAGAUUUGAGAAAGCGGUGUGAGCAAAUAUUUGAUGAGCCUUUUCUGUAUCAUAUGGAGCCUUCAAAGGGAAGGUAGCUUGAAACUUUUCUUCAAAUUCUUGGAGAUUCUUAUCAAUAGCUUGUGAAAUCAUUUCUUCAGAAAUUUUUUUGGAAGAAGCGUAAUUAAAAACGAUAUCGAACAUGAACUCGCCUUUAAAUACCUUUUGGAUGAAUUGCAAGCCUUCUUCUGAAGGAAGGUUGGGUAAAGUUAAAGUACUGUAUGCAGGAGGAAGAUCUUUCAGGGAUUCAUAUCCUUCCUUGUCACUAAUCACUUUCAUUUUAGUGUCCAAUAAGUACAGGAUAAGCUCAGAAGUUCGCCAUGCUCCCUCCUUUUUUACAUUGAAUCCAGCGAAAAAAUCUUUGUCCAUAACCAUGGAUUCCAAAUCUACAGACGCAGGAGAUACAGGAUGCUCACCUAGACGAUUAAACGUCUGUAUACGAAACUUUCCGAGGUCGGGGGUUUUUCCUUCCAUAUAUACGUGAUUGGCAUGGUUAACCUUGGUACCAACUUUACCCUCGCCCUCAACAUACGCGUAAAAAAACAGAGAAGUAGUAAGGUCAGUUGGUGCUCCAGGAAGAGGAAUACCGUGCACACGAAGAGCCCAAUUUCCUUCGGGUAACUUGACAAAAUCAGUUUCAAGUUUGAUACCCAUGAGAAAAUCAUCGAUCACUUGCUGUCCUCCCCGACGAACAUCGUAAUGCUUCCAUCCAAAGGCACCAAUAUCAUCUCCAUGUUCGGCACUGUGUCUCAUUUCUAAAUAAUGUUAAUACCUAUAUGUAUGUCCAGCUGCAAACGCGACAUACUUGAGAAUCUAGCAUAGUCAUCAACAUUGGACCACAUAAGUCCUGUCAUUAACGAAUCAGGAAUCUUAGGACGAAUUCCAACAUAUAAAUUUGGCCUAUACGGACCCCAUAAAAACGAAUCAUUCGCUGCUUUCUCAAUGUCUUCAACACUACACGAGACAAGUACGCAGUUCAAUAGAAACGAUAAGAGUCCAAAUAAAAUCCAUCUCUUAUUUCCGCCAAGCAUGUCUGACACCAUCGUUUGUGCUAGCAAAAGACUGAUGAUGGCCAGUGUUUUGUUUUGGUUAGUGUGUAUUGCAUGGCUAGCAUGCUUCCUCUGGCAUCCAACACAUUAUAGUGUCUUAACUAGCAUUAUGAAUGCUACGUUAAGUUUUUUCCAAACGCUCACAGCCACACUGCAGCGCGUAAGAUUUGGCUGCGUAAAACAUUUGGAGCUAAGAACAAAGGCUUACUUUAUUUAUCAGUUUAACAGAAAU